rnacentral:rRNA from 1 species
GAAGUAAAAGUCGUAACAAGGUCUCCGUUGGUGAACCAGCGGAGGGAUCAUUACCGAGUUUACAACUCCCAAACCCCUGUGAACAUACCACUUGUUGCCUCGGCGGAUCAGCCCGCUCCCGGUAAAACGGGACGGCCCGCCAGAGGACCCCUAAACUCUGUUUCUAUAUGUAACUUCUGAGUAAAACCAUAAAUAAAUCAAAACUUUCAACAACGGAUCUCUUGGUUCUGGCAUCGAUGAAGAACGCAGCAAAAUGCGAUAAGUAAUGUGAAUUGCAGAAUUCAGUGAAUCAUCGAAUCUUUGAACGCACAUUGCGCCCGCCAGUAUUCUGGCGGGCAUGCCUGUUCGAGCGUCAUUUCAACCCUCAAGCACAGCUUGGUGUUGGGACUCGCGUUAAUUCGCGUUCCCCAAAUUGAUUGGCGGUCACGUCGAGCUUCCAUAGCGUAGUAGUAAAACCCUCGUUACUGGUAAUCGUCGCGGCCACGCCGUUAAACCCCAACUUCUGAAUGUUGACCUCGGAUCAGGUAGGAAUACCCGCUGAACUUAAGCAUAUCAAU